AGAAUCAACGCUGGCGGCGUGCCUAACACAUGCAAGUCGAACGAGAAAGUGGAGCAAUCCAUGAGUAAAGUGGCGACCGGGUGAGUAACACGUGACUAACCUACCUUCGAGUGGGGGAUAACCUCGGGAAACCGGGGCUAAUACCGCAUAACAUCUUUGAAGUGGAAAUUUCGGAGAUCAAAGGAGCAAUUCGCUUGAAGAGGGGGUCGCGGCUGAUUAGCUAGUUGGCGGGGUAACGCCCACCAAGGCUUAGAUCGGUAGCCGGCCUGAGAGGGCGCACGGCCACACUGGAACUGAAACACGGUCCAGACUCCUACGGGAGGCAGCAGUGGGGAAUUUUGCGCAAUGGGGGAAACCCUGACGCAGCAACGCCGCGUGGAGGAUGAAGUCCCUUGGGACGUAAACUCCUUUCGACCCGGACGAUAAUGACGGUACGGGUGGAAGAAGCCCCGGCUAACUUCGUGCCAGCAGCCGC
rnacentral:rRNA from 1 species